rnacentral:ncRNA from 1 species
AACCGGGAGAGUCGGUUUGGUCCGCGCCGAAGGAGCAACCGCCCCGGUCACUCUCAGGCAAAUGGACCGGUU